UUUCAGUUUAGAGUAUGCAAGUUUUUGGGGAGCCAACCCUCACAAACCUUCCUAAAAACUUAAAGAGCUAUUACUGAGUCUCAGCGACUCUUGCCACGAUCAGCUCUUCCCAGAAGAGAAGGAAGACCAAGGAAAUGAUUUGCUCAGGAUGAGAAAUGAAGAUGGUCAUCUUGUGCUCAAGCAAACAGAAGUCCUCUGAUGAUCUCAUCAACCAAAUGAGGGGUUUUGACCAAGUGAUGCUCUCGAAAGGACUGAAAGAAGAGGAUGUGGUAAAUUGUCUUCAGAGAAAAGCUUCUCA